CGACAGGGGGGGUGUCGACAGGGGUGGUGUCGACAGGGGAGGUGUCGACAGGGGUGGUGUCGACAGGGGAGGUGUCGACAGGGGUGGUGUCGACAGGGGAG